rnacentral:rRNA from 1 species
GACGAACGCUGGCGGCGUGCCUACUACCUGCAAGUAGAACGAGUUGCGAACGGGUGAGUAACGCGUGGUAACCUGCCUCAUAGCGGGGGAUAACUAUUGGAAACGAUAGCUAAUACCGCAUACUGUGAGAUGGACCUGCGUUGUAUUAGCUAGUUGGUGAGGUAAAGGCUCACCUAGGCGACGAUCCCUAGCUGGUCUUAGAGGAUGACCAGCAACACUGGAACUGGGACACGGUCCAGAAUCCUACGGGAGGCAGCAGUGGGGAAUAUGGAACAAUGGGCGCAAGCCUGAUGCAGCCAUGCCGCGUGUAUGAAGAAGGCCUUCGGGUUGUAAAGUACUUUCAGCGAGGAGGCGUUACUCGCAGAAGAAGCACCGGCUAACUCCGUGCCAGCAGCCGCGGUAAUUC